rnacentral:rRNA from 1 species
UACGUAGGGUGCGAGCGUUAAUCGGAAUUACUGGGCGUAAAGCGUGCGCAGGCGGUUAUUUAAGUCAGGUGUGAAAGCCCUGGGCUUAACCUAGGAAUUGCGCUUGAGACUGGAUAGCUUGGAGUGCGGCAGAGGGAGGUGGAAUUCCACGUGUAGCAGUGAAAUGCGUAGAUAUGUGGAGGAAUACCGAUGGCGAAGGCAGCCCCCUGGGAUAACACUGACGCUCAUGCACGAAAGCGUGGGGAGCAAACAGG